rnacentral:rRNA from 1 species
UACAGAGGGGGCAAGCGUUGUUCGGAAUUACUGGGCGUAAAGCGCGUGUAGGCGGCCAUGCAAGUCGGAUGUGAAAGCCCUCGGCUCAACCGGGGAAGUGCACUCGAAACUGCAAGGCUAGAGUCUCGGAGAGGAUCGUGGAAUUCUCGGUGUAGCGGUGAAAUGCGUUGAUAUCAUCAGGAACACCGGUGGCGAAAGCGGCUUACUGGGUCUCUUCUGACGCUGAGGAACGAAAGCUAGGGUAGCGAACGGG